CUUCACCGAGCCGAGCAGGAGCGGGUGUUCGUCCUCGCGCUCCUGCCCGUACGUCGCCAGCAGCGCCUGUGCCUC
rnacentral:antisense_RNA from 1 species